GAGGGUGUAUCUCAAGUGGUAGAGCAUGUGCUUAGCAUGCACAAGGUCCUGGGUUCAAUCCCAGUACCUCCA
rnacentral:tRNA from 1 species